UACGUAGGGUGCAAGCGUUGUCCGGAAUUAUUGGGCGUAAAGAGCUCGUAGGUGGCCUGUCGCGUCGGCUGUGAAAACUCGGGGCUCAACUCCGAGCUUGCAGUCGAUACGGGCAGGCUAGAGUUCGGCAGGGGAGACUGGAAUUCCUGGUGUAGCGGUGGAAUGCGCAGAUAUCAGGAGGAACACCGGUGGCGAAGGCGGGUCUCUGGGCCGAGAUUGACGCUGAGGAGCGAAAGCGUGGGGAGCGAACAGG
rnacentral:rRNA from 1 species